rnacentral:lncRNA from 1 species
UUACUAAACAUUCUUACUGCUUACAAUUAUCUCUAUCUAUAAUGAACUUGGCCCAGUAGUUUCAGUAGAAAAUGUUAGUAAAAAUUUACAAAUUUUAUGAAAAUUGUUAAAAUUGACUAUAAAGGACAAUAACUCCUUAGGGGGUCAAUUGACCAUUUUGGUCAUUUUAACUUGUUUUAGGUCUUACUUUGCUGUACAUUAUUGCUGUUUACAGUUUAUCUCUGUCUAUAA